GGAGUAACCUUUUAGGAGCUAGCCGUCGAAGGUGGGACAGAUGAUUGGGGUGAAGUCGUAACAAGGUAGCCGUAUCGGAAGGUGCGGCUGGAUCACCUCCUUUCUAAGGA
rnacentral:rRNA from 1 species